AGGAAUUGGAGGCAGGCGUCGGAGAAUCGAGAUGCCUGGAGGCGAAGAAUUGAGGAGGCCAAGGCUCGAUCUAGGCUGUAGCGCCAUCGAAAUCCGCUGAACCUUCGUGCUAGGGAUUGAGGCUUGCAAUUGUUCCCCAUGAACGAAGAAUUCCCAGUAAGCGCGAGUCAUAAGCUCGCGUUGAUUACGUCCCUGCCCUUUGUACA
rnacentral:ncRNA from 1 species